GAUGAACGCUGGCGGCGUGCUUAACACAUGCGAGUCGAACGGUGAAGCAGGAGCUUGCUCUUGUGGAUCAGUGGCGAACGGGUGAGUAACACGUGAGCAACCUGCCCCUGACUCUGGGAUAAGCGCUGGAAACGGCGUCUAAUACUGGAUAUGUGAUGUGACCGCAUGGUCUGCAUCUGGAAAGAAUUUCGGUUGGGGAUGGGCUCGCGGCCUAUCAACUUGUUGGUGAGGUAAUGGCUCACCAAGGCGUCGACGGGUAGCCGGCCUGAGAGGGUGACCGGCCACACUGGGACCGGGACACGGCCCAGACUCCUACGGGAGGCAGCAGUGGGGAAUAUUGCACAAUGGGCGGAAGCCUGAUGCAGCAACGCCGCGUGAGGGAUGACGGCCUUCGGGUUGUAAACCUCUUUUAGCAGGGAAGAAGCGAAAGUGACGGUACCUGCAGAAAAAGCACCGGCUAACUACGUGCCAGCCGCCGCCGUAA
rnacentral:rRNA from 1 species